rnacentral:rRNA from 1 species
AACGUAGGAGACAAACGUUAUCCGGAGUUACUGGGCGUAAAGGGCGUGCAGGCGGUUCGAUAAGUUCGGCGUGAAAUCAUUCGGCUUAACCGGGUGCUGUCGUCGGAGACUGUCGGACUAGAGGAUGAUAGAGGCGUGUGGAAUUCCGGGUGUAGUGGUGAAAUGCGUAGAGAUCCGGAGGAACACCAGUGGCGAAGGCGACACGCUGGGUCAUACCUGACGCUAAAACGCGACAGCAUGGGGAGCGAACGGG